ACUCAAAGGAAUUGACGGGGACCCGCACAAGCGGUGGAGCAUGUGGUUUAAUUGGAUGGUAAGCCGGGCACCUCACCCAGAUUUGACAUCCCAGUGAAAGGCACUAGAAAUAGAGCCCCUCUUUUGACACUGGAGACAGGUGCUGCACGGUUGUCGUCAGCUCGUGUUGUGAAAUGUACGGUUAAGUCCGAUAACGAGCGCAACCCUUAUUGCCAGUUAUAUAUGUCUGGCGAGACUGCCGUGGUUAACACGGAGGAAGGUGGGGAUGACGUCAAAUCAGCGUGGCCUUUAUAUCUGGGGCGACACACGUGCUACAAUGGGUAGGUCACAAUGGGAUGCCAAGCGGUAACGCGGAGCAAAACCCAUCAAAACUACCCCAAGUUCGGAUUGAGGUCUGCAACUCGACCUCAUGAAGCUGGAAUCGCUAGUAACCGCAAAUCAGCCAUGUUGCGGUGAAUACGUUCUCGGGUCUUGUACACACCGCCCGU
rnacentral:rRNA from 1 species